GGAGUUGUGGCUCAAUGGUAGAGCACUCGUCUAGCAUGUGGGAGGCCCUGGGUUCGAUCCUCAGCACCACCU
rnacentral:tRNA from 1 species